rnacentral:rRNA from 1 species
GUGCCAGCAGCCGCGGUAAUACGUAGGUGGCAAGCGUUGUCCGGAUUUAUUGGGUUUAAAGGGUGCGUAGGCGGUCAAAUAAGUCAGUUGUGAAAUACGGCAGCUCAACUGUCGAGGUGCAAUUGAUACUGUUUGACUUGAGUAUUGUUGAGGUAGGCGGAAUGGACGGUGUAGCGGUGAAAUGCUUAGAGAUCGUCCAGAACACCGAUAGCGAAGGCAGCUUACUAAAGAAUAACUGACGCUGAGGCACGAAAGUGUGGGGAUCAAACAGGAUUAGAAACCCUCGUAGUCC